CUACGGGGCGCUCCAGUGGGGAAUAUUGCACAAUGGGCGCAAGCCUGAUGCAGCCAUGCCGCGUGUAUGAAGAAGGCCUUCGGGUUGUAAAGUACUUUCAGCGGGGAGGAAGGGAGUAAAGUUAAUACCUUUGCUCAUUGACGUUACCCGCAGAAGAAGCACCGGCUAACUCCGUGCCAGCAGCCGCGGUAAUACGGAGGGUGCAAGCGUUAAUCGGAAUUACUGGGCGUAAAGCGCACGCAGGCGGUUUGUUAGGUCAGAUGUGAAAUCCCCGGGCUCAACCUGGGAACUGCAUCUGAUACUGGCAAGCUUGAGUCUCGUAGAGGGGGGUAGAAUUCCAGGUGUAGCGGUGAAAUGCGUAGAGAUCUGGAGGAAUACCGGUGGCGAAGGCGGCCCCCUGGACGAAGACUGACGCUCAGGUGCGAAAGCGUGGGGAGCAAACAGGAUUAGAUACCCGAGUAGUC
rnacentral:rRNA from 1 species